rnacentral:rRNA from 1 species
AGGAUGAACGCUGGCGGCGUGCCUAACACAUGCAAGUCGAACGUCCUGUCUCGCAAGAGGCAGGGAGUGGCGGACGGGUGAGUACCACGUGGGUGAUCUACCGUGAGGUGAGGAAUACCGGCGAGAAAUCGCCGACAAGACCGCAUAGCCUCGGUGCAAGCCGAGGAAAGCUCUCUCGAGAGAGGGAGCGCCACACGAGGAGCCUGCGCCCGAUUAGCUAGCUGGUGGAGUAACGGUUCACCAGGGCGACGAUCGGUAGCUGGUCUGAGAGGACGAUCAGCCACACUGGGAUUGAGAACGGCCCAGACUCCGUACGGGGGGCAGCAGUGAGGAAUUUUCGUCAAUGGGGGCAACCCUGAACGAGCAACGCCGCGUGCAGGAAGAAGGUUUUCGGAUCGUAAACUGCUUUUUCGUCGGGGAAGAGAACGGACGGUACCCGAGGAAUCAGCCCCGGCUAACUACGUGCCAGCAGCCGCGGUAA